rnacentral:rRNA from 1 species
AUGAACGAGCUGGACACCUUGACUGCUGAGCAGGUACAUUGGUUGCCUUAUGUGGAAGAUCAUGGCUUUGAUCUUAAUGAGAUGUGCACUCGUGAUAGCCAUCUUUGGCGGGCGAGGUGCCCAAUGAUACGCUUCUUCGCAGUCGAGUGGCACUUUGUAGACCGUGUGGCAAGACAAUUUGGAAGAAGAAAAGGUAUUCCAAUUGAGGAGAGCAAUGAGGAAAUGCUAUCUCUGCAUCGGUUCGAUCGAAGGAACAAUCAGGAUAUAUCGGAUUGGGCAAACAAACAUUGUGUGUGGAUACAAAUUUGGGAUCAAAGAGACACGUCAGUGCAAUCAGAGAGUAGACCUCACAAUCAGUCAGCAUAUCAGAAGUAUCAAGUGUGGUAUGCGGAUCGUUACCGGUUAAAGCUAAAGCCUGGUUGGACUCACGAAGAGUGGUCGGAGUUGGUGUCUGAAGACCCGGAGACUGCAGUAGGUUAUCAUACCUUCAACACGGCUGUGAGAGACACCAAAGGGGCUCACGUUGACUAUGCACCAAUGCAUGACGAAAUGGGCAGAGAGUUGCUUCUGUGUGUCAAUGAUGCCAAUGUUUCACUGAGUCAUCCACCUAGUGGUGGAUUAUCUGAGAGGACUCUUAGGAGCACCAUGGAGAAGUUCAAGAAGAGGUUCCAUAAGAUGGCAGCAAUGCUUUCUUGCCAUGGUGCUCAGUCCGGUGACGUGUAUGCACCUGGUAGCCGUGCCGCCAGAGCUAAUAGACAGCGUUAUCUUCAAAACGAUGAGGACAUGGAGGACGAGGUCCAUGAAGAGGAGCCAUCACAUCAAGAGGAGACAACACAUGAAGAGGAGCCAACACAUCAUGAGGAGCAUGAGUAUGAUGCAACACAUCAAGAGGAUCAUGAGUAUGAUGUUGAUGCUCCACAACCAUCACAACCGACACAAGGCAAUGCUCGCACUAGGAAAGGCAAAGCCAUAGCUAAGACACCAAGCAAGAAAGGUAGUACAUGGAACACACAAUUCCAUAGUCCGGAGUUCCUCAUCAGCUUAUCCCAAGAGGAAUGCAAAAAUAUAAGGCCAACAAUGAGGCGGAGGAGGAGGCAUACAACGAAGAGGAGGAGGAGGCUAGCGAAGAGGACGAGCCUACACUUGCAACCAUUGUGA